CCUACGGGUGGCAGCAGUGGGGGAUAUUGCACAAUGGGGGAAACCCUGAUGCAGCGACGCCGCGUGAGUGAAGAAGUAUUUCGGGAUGUAAAGCUCGAUCAGCAGGGAAGAAAAUGACAGUACCUGACCAAGAAGCCACGGCUAACUACGUGCCAGCAGCCUCGGUAAUACGUAGGGGGCAAGCGUUAUCCGGAUUUACUGGGUGUAAAGGGAGCGUAGACGGUUAUGUAAGUCUGGAGUGAAAGCCCGGGGCCCCCCCCCGGGACUGCGUUUGAAACUGUGUAACUGGAGUACAGGAGGGGCCGGCGGCAUUCCUGGUGUAGCUGUGCCCUGCGUAGAUAUCAGGAGGACCACCGGCGGCGACGGCGGCCUGCUGGACUGCACCUGACGUUGAGGCUCGACAGUGUGGGGAGCAAACAGGCUUCGCUACCCCAGCAGUC
rnacentral:rRNA from 1 species